rnacentral:rRNA from 1 species
UACGUAGGUGGCAAGCGUUGUCCGGAAUUAUUGGGCGUAAAGCGCGCGCAGGUGGUUCCUUAAGUCUGAUGUGAAAGCCCACGGCUCAACCGUGGAGGGUCAUUGGAAACUGGGGAACUUGAGUGCAGAAGAGGAAAGUGGAAUUCCAAGUGUAGCGGUGAAAUGCGUAGAGAUUUGGAGGAACACCAGUGGCGAAGGCGACUUUCUGGUCUGUAACUGACACUGAGGCGCGAAAGCGUGGGGAGCAACAG